AUUGAACGCUGGCGGCAUGCUUUACACAUGCAAGUCGAACGGCAGCGCGGGCUUCGGCCUGGCGGCGAGUGGCGAACGGGUGAGUAAUACAUCGGAACGUGCCCAGUAGUGGGGGAUAGCUCGGCGAAAGCCGGAUUAAUACCGCAUACGACCUGAGGGGGAAAGCGGGGGAUCUUCGGACCUCGCGCUAUUGGAGCGGCCGAUGGCAGAUUGGCUAGUUGGUGGGGUAAAGGCCUACCAAGGCGACGAUCUGUAGCUGGUCUGAGAGGACGACCAGCCACACUGGGACUGAGACACGGCCCAGACUCCUACGGGAGGCAGCAGUGGGGAAUUUUGGACAAUGGGCGAAAGCCUGAUCCAGCAAUGCCGCGUGUGUGAUGAAGGCCUUCGGGUUGUAAAGCACUUUUGGCGGGAACGAAAAGGACUGUGCCAAUACCACGGUUCGAUGACGGUACCCGCAGAAUAAGCACCGGCUAACUACGUG
rnacentral:rRNA from 1 species